GAUGAACGCUGGCGGCGUGCCUAAUACAUGCAAGUCGAGCGAACGGACGAGAAGCUUGCUUUUCUGAUGUUAGCGGCGGACGGGUGAGUAACACGUGGAUAACCUACCUAUAAGACUGGGAUAACUUCGGGAAACCGGAGCUAAUACCGGAUAAUAUUUUGAACCGCAUGGUUCAAAAGUGAAAGACGGUCUUGCUGUCACUUAUAGAUGGAUCCGCGCUGCAUUAGCUAGUUGGUAAGGUAACGGCUUACCAAGGCAACGAUGCAUAGCCGACCCGAGAGGGUGAUCGGCCACACUGGAACUGAGACACGGUCCAGACUCCUACGGGAGGCAGCAGUAGGGAAUCUUCCGCAAUGGGCGAAAGCCUGACGGAGCAACGCCGCGUGAGUGAUGAAGGUCUUCGGAUCGUAAAACUCUGUUAUUAGGGAAGAACUUAUGUGUAAGUAACUGUGCACAUCUUGACGGUACCUAAUCAGAAAGCCACGGCUAACUACGUG
rnacentral:rRNA from 1 species